UUGCCAGCCCGCUCAGAAACUUAAAGGAAUUGACGGGGCCCGCACAAGCGGUGGAGCAUGUGGUUUAAUCGAAGCAACGCGAAGAACCUUACCAGGCCUUGACAUGCAGAGAACUUUCCAGAGAUGGAUUGGUGCCUUCGGGAACUCUGACACAGGUGCUGCAUGGCUGUCGUCAGCUCGUGUCGUGAGAUGUUGGGUUAAGUCCCGCAACGAGCGCAACCCUUGCCUUUAGUUGCCAGCAGUUCGGCUGGGCACUCUAAAGGGACUGCCGGUGUUAAACCGGAGGAAGGUGGGGAUGACGUCAAGUCCUCAUGGCCUUUAUGACCAGGGCUACACACGUACUACAAUGGCCGAUACAAAGGGCAGCGACACUGCGAGGUGAAGCCAAUCCCGUAAAAUCGGUCUCAGUCCGGAUUGGAGUCUGCAACUCGACUCCAUGAAGUUGGAAUCGCUAGUAAUCGUGGAUCAGCAUGCCACGGUGAAUACGUUCCCGGGCCUU
rnacentral:rRNA from 1 species